rnacentral:lncRNA from 1 species
GGAAAGCGCCUCCAAACGCGGGCCAAAGCUAAGCCUGCGACUGUCGCAGGUCACGCCCCUGUCUGGUGCGGCCAUGGCUCAGCGCUUCUGAGUCCUGUGAAUACUCCCCGACUGUAGCGGGACAAGCAAUGUGUGGGCAUAAGUGUUUGCCCUCUCACAUGGCUGCCUGUAGCUGCAAGGGAGUCAGGCCAUAGAAAGCAUUGCCAUGCUCAUGGUGUGGAAAUGAAGCAAAGUGCUGCAAAUGGCAGAUUCCCCUCCAGCGUACCUGAUGCUAUGGUUCAUUGUCCAUCUGCUUUCCCCAGACUCUUCA